CCUACGGGUGGCAGCAGUGAGGAAUAUUGGUCAAUGGGCGCGAGCCUGAACCAGCCAAGUCGCGUGAAGGAUGACUGCCCUACGGGUUGUAAACUUCUUUUAUAAAGGAAUAAAGUGAGGUACGUGUGCCUUUCUGCAUGUACUUUAUGAAUAAGGAUCGGCUAACUCCGUGCCAGCAGCCGCGGUAAUACGGAGGAUCCGAGCGUUAUCCGGAUUUAUUGGGUUUAAAGGGAGCGUAGAGGGGUUGUUAAGUCAGUGGUGAAAGUUUGCGGCUCAACCGUGAAAUUGCAAUUGAUACUGGCAGGCUAGAGUGCAGUUGAGGUAGGCGGAAUGCGUGGUGUAGCGGUGAAAUGCUUAGAUAUCACGAAGAACACCGAUUGCGAAGGCAGCUUACUAAGCUGCAACUGACAUUGAUGCUCGAAAGUGUGGGGAGCAAACAGGAUUAGAUACCCGUGUAGUC
rnacentral:rRNA from 1 species